rnacentral:rRNA from 1 species
GACGAACCGAGCGAACGUUGUUCGGAAUCACUGGGCUUAAAGGGCGCGUAGGCGGGCUGUCAAGUCUGGGGUGAAAUCCCGCGGCUCAACCGUGGAACUGCCUCAGAUACUGACGGCCUCGAGGGGGGUAGGGGCGAGCGGAACUCUCAGUGGAGCGGUGAAAUGCGUUGAUAUUGGGAGGAACUCCGGUGGCGAAGGCGGCUCGCUGGACCUUUUCUGACGCUGAGGCGCGAAAGCUAGGGGAGCAAACGGG